GAGUUUGAUCGUGGCUCAGGACGAACGCUGGCGGCGUGCUUAACACAUGCAAGUCGAACGGAGCACCCUUGACUGAGGUUUCGGCCAAAUGAUAGGAAUGCUUAGUGGCGGACUGGUGAGUAACGCGUGAGGAACCUGCCUUCCAGAGGGGGACAACAGUUGGAAACGACUGCUAAUACCGCAUGAUAUAUUUGAGGGGCAUCCCUUGGAUAUCAAAGAUUAUAUCGCUGGAAGAUGGCCUCGCGUCUGAUUAGCUAGA
rnacentral:rRNA from 1 species